CACUCCAGUGGCCUAGUGGUCAGAGCAUCUGCCUCAGAUGUGUAAGGUCACAGGUUCAAACCCCGGCCGAGUCA